ensembl:lncRNA
AUGGUUAGGAGAGUUGAUGAGGAGUUAGAAGACAACGUGGCGUUUAGGGAAUCGAUGGACGGAGAAAUUGGAUUUGAAGUUAAAAUUGUUUCAAAAAGAAUCACACAUUUAUAUUUUUGUCAUUGCAAACAAUCCUUGAUAAAAGUGUCGACUUGCUUAUCAAGCACACACAGAAAUAAGGACAAGUUUAUCAUACAGAUGCUUCCAUCUCGUAUUGGGGGGCAGAUGACCUUUUUAUCAAACGUCUACUUGAGAGCUGUGGACCCCCCAGAGUCCAGACCAGCUCAGGUACCCCUCACCUGCUCCACCUGCAUCUACACCCACAUGAACCACCGUCAGCUGCACAGACUGAACUAUGUGGUGAGCAGAGAGGAAGGUUCUCCACCAGGAGGAGACUCUCCCUCCUGCAGAGAACACAGAGACACUGAGUCACCAAAACAGGAAGCAAAACCAUACCAGAGUUCAAACCCAAACCCAGGAUAAAGAGGUUCAGUGAAUGUGGUGAUGAAGGUGUGGAGGUGGAUCAGUGUGUCAGAGGAGACUCUGUAGAAGGACAGAGAGCCAGCAGGACAGUCCACAUACACUGCUACUCUACCAGAGGAGGGGGAGGAGGAGGAGGAGGAGAUGCGUGUUUGUAUACCAUUGUUACGAACAGAGUAACCUUUAUCAGAGCGGAUCAGACUCCAGGACUGAUCACUCCUUCCAAACACACAGUCACUGUCUCCUUUCCUCUUGAUUCCUCUGUAACUCACUGAUAUAAUAAUGUUUCCUCUCCACUCGACCUCCCAGUAACAGCGACCAGUCAGACCAGUUCUACACAGCAGCUGAGGCCAGGAGUCAAAUCUGUCUGGAUGAUCAGGAUAUGACUGAUCCUCCUUCACCCAUGUCACCUUCCUGUUGUUGUCAGACAGUUUGAGUUGUGUGUUUACUGUGUUUGUGUCGAAUGUGAGUUCACAGGAAUCUGAUGAGAGAACAAGACACAAUACAGCUGCAGUUAUUAAUCAUGUGUUCAUCUACUGACACGUUGAUGAUGACGUCACAGAGGUGAAUGAGUGAUGUCACAGUGUGAAGAUGGUUGAAUCUUCAUGAAUCAAAGCACACUUACACUUCCUCAGACCUGGUGUCAACCAUCGGACUCCAUCAGGCUCCACCCUGAAAGGAGGAGGGGGGUCAGAGCAGCAUGGAGACGUGGACAUUACAUCACACACAGCUUUGUCCUUCAUCAGGAAUCAGGAAACAUUUAUUGCCAUAAUAUGUCAGACACACAAGGAAUUUGACUUGGCGGUUGGUGCAUAACAGCACGACAACGGACGACAACACAACAGUGCACGAGGAAUAAACCAAAAUAUUAUGCUAUGGGUGUUGUGGGUCAGCUGCCAUUUCUCCCCAUCCUGUGCUGUUUGUCCCACCUACAUGAGGAGUGGCCAGUCAUCCUGCUCCGUCCCCACACAGCUGAUCCACAAUCCACAAUUCACCCCUGCAGUUUAGACCCGUGCUGUUCGCUCCUCCAGCGCCAGAUUGUAACCCACCCCUCGUGGUAACUCGACCUGUGGAAUCCUGCACUCAUUAAAUCACUUCUACUGAUUGUCAGUGUCCUGUGUGAAUCUCUGUGUGCCGGGUCGGAUAUCCAGCCUUAACAAUGGGCUUUAUAAAUAUAAAAAUAAAAGGAAUACAAGUUAAAGUUGGUUGGAGUUACAAAGGGUUGGAUGCUGCUGUUAUCUUCCCGUCUACUAACAGCAGUCAACACUGGUUUCUAUCACCUGUAGUCCGGAAGGCAGGUGGGUCUGCAGCCACAGAGCACUGCCUGAGUCCCCCUAGAACCAGUCCCAAACAAACCUCUUUGGGCUUCCAACUGCCAACCUUGUGGUUCCCAGCGCACCCUCUCUAACCCUGCGCCACAUCGACCCCCUCUCAUUCAGGGGACUGGCUCUUGGUACAAAGCACCACAACCAGGUGAAGCUGAACUCCUUUAAAACACCAAACGUUCCUCCUGUGAUGAUCCAUCAAGACGCUUUGAACUGUUUCUGACUGUUUGUCUCUUAAUAAUAAUGUCUGGACUAAAGGACAAACACACACUGGAGGCAGAUGACGAGCUGCACAGUGUUGUUUGAUAAGAGCCCACAAACCUGCAGCGUGACCACGUUGACUCAUAUCAACCCACCAUGAUGGCGUCAGCGUGUCAGGACUAGAGCAUGGAUCGGGCCGACUUCUUCUGUCCGAGCCCGGCCCGAGUCCGACCAGAGUCAGACAGCCUUUAAACUAUUUUGUCCGAACCCGACCCCGACGGAGUCAAUGCCUCAACUGUUCAUAAUAAUGACACAUUCACCAAGGUUUUUUUUUUUAAUAAAUAGCUUGCCUUUAUUAAACUCAGGCAUCAACAGAUAAAUAUACUCGCUCAAAGAAACAAGCGCUGUUAAACGCACGAGCACGUUGAAAAUAAAUUAUAAACAAUGCAAAAACGGAGAAAUAGAAUACACACAACACAAAACUAUGUACAUGUUAAUUAUGGAAUGUUCAAUGCCUUAUCGCGCUGAUGUGUCCGAGCCCGACUAUAUUCUCUAAAUAUUUAUCCGAACCCGGCCCGACCCGACAGGUCCCGACGGGUACCGACGGGCUCGGGUCGGCUAUCCACCCUCUAGUCAGGAUAAACCACGGUCUCAUAAGUCAGAAAAACAAUGCCUUUCAUCACCUUCCUCCCUGUUCAGGCUCAUCCUGGCUACUGAUCCUCACUACUUCUGUCUGUGUUGAUGGUCUCAUGUGGGACACAAACAGUUGCAUGAGUCUCUGGUGGUUUGAGGUCAGCUUGGUGUGUCAGGGUCUUAUUAACCAGGCUGACAGUGGGACAGAGAAAAGGUUUCCAGCUCCUCUACAGACUGAUGGUCUGUGGCUGCAGCCUCUUCAUACCUGAGAGUCUCCAGUCUCCACUGAGGAUCCUCCAGUCCAGCAGACAGCAGCUUUACUCCUGAGUCUCCUGGAUGAUUGUAGCUCAGGUCCAGCUCUCUCAGGUGGGAGGGGUUGGAGCUCAGAGCCGAGGCCAGAGAAGAACAGCCUUCCUCUGUGAUCAGACAGCCUGACAGCCUGCAGACACACAACACAACACACAUGUCACAUGAUCUGAGGGGCUGGAGGGGCACUGCAGGACUGGUUUACUAUCAGGUACUGAGGGGUCACAUUAAUACAGUUACUGACUGGUUUACUGACUGGUUUCCAGUGACAACCAAAUACCCACUAAUGUUCAUCAACAAUCUGAUAACAUCACUGAUAUUUAUGAUUGAUCUCCAUC